GACGAACGCUGGCGGCGUGCUUAACACAUGCAAGUCGAACGGAAAGGCCCUGCUUUUGUGGGGUGCUCGAGUGGCGAACGGGUGAGUAACACGUGAGUAACCUGCCCUUGACUUUGGGAUAACUUCAGGAAACUGGGGCUAAUACCGGAUAGGAGCUCCUGCUGCAUGGUGGGGGUUGGAAAGUUUCGGCGGUUGGGGAUGGACUCGCGGCUUAUCCGCUUGUUGGUGGGGUAGUGGCUUACCAAGGCUUUGACGGGUAGCCGGCCUGAGAGGGUGACCGGCCACAUGGGGACUGAGAUACGGCCCAGACUCGUACGGGAGGCAGCAGUGGGGAAUAUUGCACAAUGGGCGGAAGCCUGAUGCAGCAACGCCGCGUGCGGGAUGACGGCCUUCGGGUUGUAAACCGCUUUCGCCUGUGACGAAGCGUGAGUGACGGUAAUGGGUAAAGAAGCACCGGCUAACUACGUG
rnacentral:rRNA from 1 species